GAUGAACGCUGGCGGCGUGCUUAACACAUGCAAGUCGAACGAUGAAGCCCAGCUUGCUGGGUGGAUUAGUGGCGAACGGGUGAGUAACACGUGAGUAACCUGCCCUUAACUCUGGGAUAAGCCUGGGAAACUGGGUCUAAUACCGGAUAGGAGCGUCCACCGCAUGGUGGGUGUUGGAAAGAUUUAUCGGUUUUGGAUGGACUCGCGGCCUAUCAGCUUGUUGGUGAGGUAAUGGCUCACCAAGGCGACGACGGGUAGCCGGCCUGAGAGGGUGACCGGCCACACUGAGACUGAGACACGGCCCAGACUCCUACGGGAGGCAGCAGUGGGGAAUAUUGCACAAUGGGCGCAAGCCUGAUGCAGCGACGCCGCGUGAGGGAUGACGGCCUUCGGGUUGUAAACCUCUUUCAGUAGGGAAGAAGCGAAAGUGACGGUACCUGCGGAAGAAGCACCGGCUAACUACGUG
rnacentral:rRNA from 1 species